rnacentral:lncRNA from 1 species
AUGGAAGAUGAUGCUGUGAAAGUGCAGCAUGCAAUAUGUCAGCAAAUUUGGAAAAUUCAGCAGUGGCCACAGGACUGGAAAAGCUCAGUUUUCAUUCCAAUUCCAAAGAAAGACAAUGCCAAAGAAUGCUCAAACUACUGCACAAUUGCACUCAUCCCACAUGCUAGUAAAGUAAUGCUCAAAAUUAUCCGAGCCAGUCUUCAACAAUACGUGAACCGUGAACUUCCAGAUGUUCAAGCUGGUUUUAGAAAAAGCAGAGGAACCAGAGAUAAACUUGUCAACAUCCACUGGAUCAUGGAAAAAGCAAGAGAGUUCCAGAAUGCCAAAGCCUUUGACUGUGUGGAUCACAAUAUACUGUGGAAAAUUCUAAAAGAGAUGGGAAUACCAGACCACCUGACCUGUUUCUUGAGAAACCUAUAUGCAGGUCAGGAAGUAACAGUUAGAACUGGACAUGGAACAACAGACUGGUUCCAAAUAGGAAAAGGAGUACGUCAAGGCUGUAUAUUGUCACCCUGCUUAUUUAACUUCUGUGCAGAGUACAUAAUGAGAAACGCUGGGCUGGAAGAAGCACAAGCUGGAAUCAAGAUUGCUGGGAGAAAUAUCAAUAACUUCAGAUAUGCAGAUAACACCACCCUUAUGGCAGAAAGUGAAGAGGAACUCAAAAGCCUCUCGAUGAAAGUGAAAGAGGAGAGUGAAAAAGUUGGCUUAAAGCUCAACAUUCAGAAAACAAAGAUCAUGGCAUCUGGUCCCAUUGCUUCAUGGGAAAUAGAUGGGGAAACAGUGGAAACAGUGACAGACUUUAUUUCUGGGGGCUCCAAAAUCACUGCAGAUGGUGAUUGCAGCCAUGAAACUACAAGAUUCUUACUCCCUGGAAGAAAAGUUAUGACCAACCUAGAUAGCAUAUUCAAAAGAAGAGACAUUACUUUGCCAACAAAGGUCCAUCUAGUCAAGGCUAUGGUCAAAUAUCCAUAUUUUCCAUUGGUCAUGUAUGGCUGUGAGAGUUGGACUGUGAAGAAAGCUAAGUGCCAAAGAAUUGAUGCUUUUGAAGUGUGGUGUUGGAGAAGACUCUUGAGAGUCCCUUGGACUGCAAGGAGAUCCAACCAGUCAACCCUAAAGGAGAUCAGUCCUGAAUGUUCAUUGGAAGGAAUGAUGCUGAAGCUGAAACUCCAAUACUUUGGCCACCUCAUGUGA